rnacentral:rRNA from 1 species
UGGGGAAUAUUGCACAAUGGGCGCAAGCCUGAUGCAGCCAUGCCGCGUGUAUGAAGAAGGCCUUCGGGUUGUAAAGUACUUUCAGUCGGGAGGAAGGUGGUAAGGUUAAUAACCUUAUCAAUUGACGUUACCGACAGAAGAAGCACCGGCUAACUCCGUGGCAGCAGCCGCGGUAAUACGGAGGGUGCAAGCGUUAAUCGGAAUUACUGGGCGUAAAGCGCACGCAGGCGGUUGAUUGAGUCAGAUGUGAAAUCCCCGGGCUUAACCCGGGAAUUGCAUCUGAUACUGGUCAGCUAGAGUCUUGUAGAGGGGGGUAGAAUUCCAUGUGUAGCGGUGAAAUGCGUAGAGAUGUGGAGGAAUACCGGUGGCGAAGGCGGCCCCCUGGACAAAGACUGACGCUCAGGUGCGAAAGCGUGGGGAGCAAACAGG